AAUAACUGUGUCUUAUUCAAAGUUGCAAACAGAACAAAGAAGCCCUGUUUCUGUUGUGUCCAUUUCUUCUGUAGGGAGAUGUUCUUCCUACACACCAACCUUGAGUUUAUGAAAGGUUCACGCAGGUAUGUACCCACUGAACAAUCAGAGGAGUUGCUUCAUUCCUAUGGACCCCGAAUCAGAAUUCAGCAUAUAUACAUUUUAUACUAAUACAUUUCAUUACAGUCCUAAUUAAAUGUUACUUGUUAACCUUGUGGAAGCAGGGAAAGAAAGAGAGAGUUUAAGUGCAGCCAUUUAAGUGUCAGAGACAGAACAACUGUUCUGUCAAGUCUUAGCCUAAUAUCACAAGACCUGUAGAAGCCGGGCUCACAUCAGCAGUGAGUGGAAAACAGCAGAAUAGUCAGUGUGACCCAGCCUUGAGAUAACGAUGUUUUUGAGAAGAGAAAGUGAGAAAAUACUGGAAUAAAUAGCAAAUAGUCUAAAUAAAAUGCAGAUGUUUUUAAUUAAUGCACAUCACAAAGAGGUAUAAAUGCUUGUGUGAUUUUGCUUGUACUUUGGAGAAACUGAGGCAGAGAUGCUCUCUGCCAGCUGUAUUCUUCCCCUGCAAUUGCUUGAAUAAAGCUGUCUCAGAUUUUGUUGCUUCCAA